rnacentral:tRNA from 1 species
ACCUGGGUGGCUCAGUUAAGCAUCUGACUUCAGCUCAGGUCAUGAUCCCAUGGUUUGCAAGUUCAAUCCCUGCUUCAGGUU